rnacentral:rRNA from 1 species
GACGAACGCUGGCGGCGUGCUUAACACAUGCAAGUCGAACGGUAAGGCCCUUCGGGAUACACGAGUGGCGAACGGGUGAGUAACACGUGGGUGAUCUGCCCUGCACUUCGGGAUAAGCCUGGGAAACUGGGUCUAAUACCGGAUAGGACCCUGGGAUGCAUGUCCUGGGGUGGAAAGCUUUUGCGGUGUGGGAUGGGCCCGCGGCCUAUCAGCUUGUUGGUGGGGUGAUGGCCUACCAAGGCGACGACGGGUAGCCGGCCUGAGAGGGUGACCGGCCACACUGGGACUGAGAUACGGCCCAGACUCCUAGGGGAGGCAGCAGUGGGGAAUAUUGCACAAUGGGCGCAAGCCUGAUGCAGCGACGCCGCGUGAGGGAUGACGGCCUUCGGGUUGUAAACCUCUUUCAGCACCGACGAAGCGCAAGUGACGGUAGGUGCAGAAGAAGGACCGGCCAACUACGUGCCAGCAGCCGCAGUAA